UCUCUCAUUUUUUCUGCAGUUAGUUUGCAUGUAUUCUUGUGACUUCCCUUUAGAAUCCUGAUUGAGGUCAUAAUGAUAGUGAAGACGCCACUGCUCAGCCCCUUAGCUCAUCUCCAUACAUGGCAACUUCCAUGCUGUCUUCCUCACAGGGAGAGUCACCCUCAGGUGCUGAUUACUGAGUUGGAAAUUGUUGAGAAACAAGUACAAAAUCAUGUAUCUCUUCUACUGCCAUGAUCAAGCCCCAGUUCACACAAAUGAUAACGCAAAAAACUUGAGCACACUGGAUUUUAUGUGGAAUCUUCUGGUGUAAUAACACGUUUCUGAUUUCAUGAGGUUUAAAUAUGUUGGUAAAAGAAUCAGUUCUGCACUUACUCAUUUACCUCCAUCCUGAACCAAAGUACUUACAAGAGAAUGUGAAAGUGAAUCAGAAGGGACGAACACACACAGAAAACCUUCCCUGACCUUUGGAAGUCAGAGAAUAGUCAACAAACUGAUUUAAGCAAUUUCACUGCUUUGAAGGUUUCAAAGAAGACUGAUUUCUGUUUGUUCAGCCACCAUUUGGAAGUGCAAAGAUCAAGGACAUCAAAAGUGUUAUCUGAACUUUUGAAUGUGUUUGUGAAAUUGCUAAUAUGUCAUGGAGGCAUUUUUCAGAGAUCUGCAUUGUGGCACUCUUUAUCUGUGUCAGUUUGGCAGGUGCCAUCUGAUCAAGUGAGUGGCCCUUCCGGCACACCAAAUGCCUUCCAAACUCCUUCCAAAGGCAUACCAGAGAGAAAAGAAAACCAGUCAUUUCCUGUGAUUGGGAGUUAGAGUCAACCAAAGGGCCUAUGAUGACUUCCUGAGGAUGUUUAGUUGGUCACUACAGUGGCUGACAGAUGGUGCAUGAAGCUUGUAGUCUACACUUCACAAGCAGCAGUAUUAAGUCUUCAAAAUCAUAAAGAAGUGCAGUCACGCUUUGCAGGAAGAACUACUUCAAUAAAGUUUUAUCUGAGGGAGUCAGUCCAGGGUGACAUGGUACUCCCCAUCAUCAGGGACCCAUACUCCUUCCUGUUUGCUUCUCUGCUGUGUGUGACUUGCAUUCUCAAGUUCACUUCAUGGUGCAAGUUGGCUGUUGAUGCUUCAACCUUCCGAAAGGAAAGAGGAUGGGAGGAGAAGAGCAUGCCCAUCUCCCUUGCUCCCUUUAAGGAGACUUACUGGAAGUUUCUUGGGCCACUUCCAGUUAUAACCCAUUAGCCAGAACUUAGUCUCAUGGUUACACCUAAUUAUAAAGUAAGGUAGAGACUACAACCUAGCUAAAAUUUAGGGGGUCUGUUACCAUAAAAAAAGUAGAAUGCAUUCUUAGGAACAAUUAGCUAGUUCUGCCCCAUCAUCCUUUAGGACUCAGCUCAAAUGUCCCCUUUUUAGAGACCAUCAGAGCCCAUCCUGUCAAUAGCAGGCCUUCCAUACUUAUUAUUCACCACAUAAUCAGCUCAGUUCCAUAGAAGUGAUCUUUGUUUAUUUGCUUACUUCUACAUUUUAUGUUCUUGCUCCUCCACUACGACAAAGUUCUUUAAGUGUAGGGACCUUAUCUGUCUUGCUGCUCACCUCCAUACCCCAGUACCUUACCUUGCCUGCCACAUGGUAGAAACUUGAUAAACAUGUGGAAUAAAUGAACAAAUCAUGAAUGAGGGCCCUUAACGGAGAAAAUCAAUGAGGUAUUAGGACUAAAUACAUAAGCUCUGGGAUUAGAUAACCUUGAUUAAAAUCUUGACUCCACCUCUUAUUAGUAAUGUGACCGGGGCAGUGACUUAAGCUGUCUAAAUCUUGACUUCUUCAUUUGUAAAAAUGGAGAGGAGGGCUUUUGGGAGAAUGACAUGAGUGAAUCCAUGUGAAAUGCCUAUCUCGUUGCCUACUGGAUAGGUAAAAACAAAUGUUAACCUUUAUACAUGACCAUAAAAAUAAUUAUAGUUUUUGUUAUUAUUGGGAUCUCUCUAGUCCCAAGAUUUAAAGGAGGCAUGCCAGAGGAAGAGACCUUAGAGAUGAGCCCAGGGGAUAGGCAGGAGUUGAACAAAGAAAAAGCGUAAGGGGAGAACAUUAUAGGAAGAAACCACAUGUGCACAGGUCUUGGGGGCAGAAAGUGAUGUUAGAACUAGAAAAAAAGUCAAUGUGGGCAGAGUGAAGACAGGAAGAGUGGCAUGUAAACUGAGGCCAGAAAGGAAGACAAGGUUAGAACAUUCAGGACUUUGUAUUAUGAGCUUUAUCCCAAGUGCAAAGAGAAGCUACUGAAGGUCUCCAAGCAGGAGUGCAUAAUCAGAUUUGUAAUGUAAAUUAUGGGAUUAUUGCUCUUUAAAAAGUGGAAGAGACAUGAGCUCUCCAAUGAACACACACUAACAAAAAAUCAUGUGCAUGCACACAGUGAAGGUGAUUGUAUACAAGUCAGGAAAAGGGUCUUCACUAAGAACUUAAUCUGUCAGCACCUUGAUCUUGGACUUCCCAGCAUCCAGAACUGUGAGAAAUAAAUGUCUGUUGUGUAAGA